UAGGGAUGGCAGCGGAAAUCCUUUUUGUGAAGCAACGCGGAACAAAAAGAUUGUAGCGUACAGCCCGGCCGCAG
rnacentral:sRNA from 1 species